rnacentral:tRNA from 1 species
GCAUCAAUAGUUCAGGGGUUAGAAUUCGAGCUUCCCAUGCUCGAGAGCGGGGGUAAGUGCUUCUUCAGUCCAAUAUGAUUGGAGUGCACGUCUAACAUUACCAUUAAGUUCGAGUCCCCGUUGAUGCA